rnacentral:piRNA from 1 species
UGAUGGAGAUAGCCAAAGCCAUGAGGC